rnacentral:rRNA from 1 species
AAAUUGAAGAGUUUGAUCAUGGCUCAGAUUGAACGCUGGCGGCAGGCCUAACACAUGCAAGUCGAACGGUAACAGGAAGCAGCUUGCUGCUUUGCUGACGAGUGGCGGACGGGUGAGUAAUGUCUGGGAAACUGCCUGAUGGAGGGGGAUAACUACUGGAAACGGUAGCUAAUACCGCAUAACGUCGCAAGACCAAAGAGGGGGACCUUCGGGCCUCUUGCCAUCGGAUGUGCCCAGAUGGGAUUAGCUUGUUGGUGGGGUAACGGCUCACCAAGGCGACGAUCCCUAGCUGGUCUGAGAGGAUGACCAGCCACACUGGAACUGAGACACGGUCCAGACUCCUACGGGAGGCAGCAGUGGGGAAUAUUGCACAAUGGGCGCAAGCCUGAUGCAGCCAUGC